rnacentral:sRNA from 1 species
GCAGCGGAAAAAUCUGCUGCCGGGUUUGGAACCCCGUAUUUCAACAGGGCGCAUAACUGCGUAAGCGGUUAUUAU